rnacentral:rRNA from 1 species
AGUGAACGCUGGCGGCGUGCUUAACACAUGCAAGUUGAACGAGAACGGAUUAUAGCUUGCUAUAAUUGUCAGCUAAGUGGCGCACGGGUGAGUAAUGUAUAGGUAAUAUGCCUCUUACUAAGGGAUAACAAAUGGAAACGUUUGCUAAUACCUUAUACUCCUUAUUAACAUAAGUUAAUAAGGGAAAGAUUUAUUGGUAAGAGAUUAGCCUGUAUUGUAUCAGUUAGUUGGUGGGGUAAUGGCUUACCAAGACUAUGACACAUAACUGGUUUGAGAGGAUGAUCAGUCACACUGGAACUGAGACACGGUCCAGACUCCUACGGAAGGCAGCAGUGGGGAAUAUUGCACAAUGGACGAAAGUCUGAUGCAGCAACGCCGCGUGGAGGAUGACACAUUUCGGUGCGGAAACUCCUUUUAUAUGAGAAGAUAAUGACGGUAUUAUAUGAAUAAGCACCGGCUAACUCCGUGCCAGCAGCCGCGGUAACAC